rnacentral:pre_miRNA from 1 species
UGGACAGAUUGUUGUAUUCGACUGUAUUCACGGCGUGAAACAUGAGAUUACACUAUUUUUAAACGGAAAGUGAAUCAAUUAACAUAAUAUACUCCU